rnacentral:sRNA from 1 species
UGAAGGAAGAAUUUGAAUACAUUGCUUUUCGAUGUGCCUACUGUUUUUUCUUGAACCCUGCAAGAAAAACCAGACCUCAGGCUCCAAGACUUCCUGAGUUUAGUUUUGAGAAGAGGCAGGUGGUGGAAGGUUCAAGUUCAGUUGGUCCCUUGCCAUCAGGAAGUGUGCUUUCAUCAGACAACCAGUUUAAUGAAGUACAGUAUUGAGGCAGUCUGUCAGACAGAAUAUGACAAACUAUGUGGGCCUGUUUUCACUUAAACAUGUUUAUUGAAUCUUUAGAACAAGAUGUUCUUGAUAAUAAUACAGAGCAGACAGAUGACAAAAUACCAGCUACAGAACAGACAAACCAAGUGAUUGAAAAAGCAUCUGACUCAGAGGAACCAGAGGAGAAACAAGAGACUGAGAAUGAGGAAGCCUCAGUGAUUGAAACCAACUCCACAGUUCCCGGAGCUGAUUCUAUUCCUGAUCCUGAACUAAAUGGAGAAUCUUUGACCACAGAGUAGUAAAUGCUUCCAUGUGCCUUC